AUGGCGGGCAGGCUGGUCCUCCUUAAUGCCAUGUUAUCUGCCUUCACGAUGUACUGGCUGUCCGUGUUUGAGCUGCCUGCUUGGGCGCGGGCCGAGAUCGACAAGCUGCGUUGGGCGUGGCUCUGGAAAGGCAAGGAAUCAUGUCAUGGUGGGCACUGUAAGAUUGCUUGGAACAGGAUUUGCCGGCCAAGGCAACUAGGAGGCCUUGGCAUCAUUGACUUGCAUUGCUUCGGAAUUGCCUUGCGCCUCCGCUGGUUGUGGCUGGAGCGUGUCCCCCCCACUACGCCCUAG
rnacentral:rRNA from 1 species